rnacentral:lncRNA from 1 species
CGGCCGCGGCGCGGGAGGCGGGGCGGCGCGAGGAGGGCGGAGGCGCGGGCUGGGGAGGGAGGAGCUGCCCGCGCGCCCGCUGCUGCUCGGCUCCACACCCGCCGGCGCGGCCCCGCCACGAGACUCCGAUGACAGGGGCUCAGCCGGCGCUGCUUGCGAGCGCCGGACCGACCGACCGCGGCGGCGGAGGAAGACGCGAGGAUCGCGGCCCGGGGCCAAGUGCGGGAGGUGCUUGGGGCCGGCGGCGCGCAUAGAUCAGGAGAAAAGGAGGUGGUGAGUGUCCAAGACCUGAGGAGAGCCAGAGAUGCUAAGCACCAAGGAGUUCAGCAUGAAGGAGCGACUAGAACAGAUCCCCUCUGAAGCAGCUGGGGGCUCAUCUGAGAAACUUCUCAUCCUUGAGGAGUGGUCAGCUAGGAGAGGAAGAAGGGAUGGUGUGGAGCCCACCCAUGGCCUAAGGAGCCAGUGUAGUCCACAGCCUGUGGGACCAGGAGCCUCCAGGUGGGCAACUCAAGAAGAAUCGAUGCUUCAGCCCCCAGCGACAUGUACACGGUGUAAUGACAGGUGUGAAAAAAAUAUGGUGAAUGCUGUUGCCAAGUUCCAUCCAACAGAAAGGUAGGCUUGUAAAAACAUUAUGGUGUGUCCUCAUUCACCUUAUUCACUGGACCUGGCACCAUGUGAAUUCUGGAUCUUCCCUAAAGUCAAAAUGACCAUGAAAGGUAAGUAUUUCAAAUUGAUCCUGGAUAUCAAGGCAGCCAUGUCAGCACAAUUAAAGAUAAUUCACGAAAGAGGACUUUCAGAACUGCUUCAGAAAGCGGCAAGAAUGAUGAGAUAUGUUUGAAGCAAGGGAGAGUGUAUUGAGGAGAGGAAAUGG